GACGAACGCUGGCGGCGUGCUUAACACAUGCAAGUCGAACGGAAAGGCCCUGCUUUUGUGGGGUGCUCGAGUGGCGAACGGGUGAGUAACACGUGAGUAACCUGCCCUUGACUUUGGGAUAACUUCAGGAAACUGGGGCUAAUACCGGAUAGGAGCUCCUGCUGCAUGGUGGGGGUUGGAAAGUUUCGGCGGUUGGGGAUGGACUCGCGGCUUAUCAGCUUGUUGGUGGGGUAGUGGCUUACCAAGGCUUUGACGGGUAGCCGGCCUGAGAGGGUGACCGGCCACAUUGGGACUAAGAUAGGGCCCAGACUCCUACGGGAGGCAGCAGUGGGGAAUAUUGCACAAUGGGCGGAAGCCUGAUGCAGCAACGCCGCGUGCGGGAUGACGGCCUUCUGGUUGUAAACCGCUUUCGCCUGUGACGAAGCGUGAGUGACGGUAAUGGGUAAAGAAGCACCGGCUAACUACGUG
rnacentral:rRNA from 1 species